UACGUAGGGCGCAAGCGUUGUCCGGAAUUAUUGGGCGUAAAGAGCUCGUAGGCGGCUUGUCACGUCGGGUGUGAAAGCCCGGGGCUUAACCUGGGAAUGGCAGUGGAAACUGGCGGGCUUGAGUGUGGCAGAGGGGGGUGGAAUUCCGCGUGUAGCAGUGAAAUGCGUAGAGAUGCGGAGGAACACCAACGGCGAAAGCACUCUGCUGGGCCGACACUGACACUGAGAGACGAAAGCUAGGGGAGCGAAUGGG
rnacentral:rRNA from 1 species